rnacentral:pre_miRNA from 1 species
GUGACUGAGACAUGAUGCUCAUAAUGACCUUUGUAAAUGACAUCUGUUUCUCAGUCAACA